AGUCGACCUUGAGAGAGGAUCAGGGUGGAACUACUCUAAUCUCAUGAGCCCUUAGAAGCAGAGAAUUCCCCUGGCUGGAGGCAAAAGGAGACGUCAGAGAGAUUCAGCGUGUGAGAAGGAUUGAGCCUCAGCUGUGGAAGGCAGGAGAAGGAGAUGAAUCCUGCCAACAACACGAACGAGCUCGGGAGCAGAUUGUCCCCUGGACCCAUCAGAAACGAUCCCAGGCCGGCCGGCUCCUUCACUUUGGCCUGGUGACACCCUAAGCCAAGAACGCAUUCAAGCUGCCUGGACUCGUCACCUGCAGAACUGUGGGAUUGGAAGAUUCAAUAUUGUUACAAUGCUAAUACUCCCCAAAGAAAUCUACAGGUUCAUUGCAAUCCCAAUCAAAAUCCCAAUGACAUCUUUGGCAGAAAUAGGAAAAUACAUCCUAAAAUCCAUAUGGAAUCUCAAGAGACUGUGAAUAGCCAAAACAAUCUUGAAAAAGAAGAACAAAGUUGAAGGAUUCACAUUUCCUGAUUUCACAAUUUACUAUAAAUCAAAACAGUGUGGUACCGGCAUAAAGACAGACACAUCAACCAGUGGAAUAGAAUAAAGAUCGCAGAAACAAACCCAUAUGGGGUCAGACGAUUUUCAACAAGGAUCCCAAGACCAUUCGGUACGGGAAAGGCUAGACUUUGAAACAAGUGGUACUGGGAAAACUGGAUAUCCACAUGCAAAAGAAUAAAGUUAGACCUUUACCUAACACUAUAUACAAAAAUAACUCCAAAAUGGAUCAAGGACCAAACACAGCCGCUAAAACUAUAGAACUGUUAGAAGAAAACACAAGUCAAUGCCUCACAAUAUUGGAUUUGGCAGUGAUUUCUUAGAUAUGAAAUCAUAUCCAAGCACAGGCAUGGCCAACAAAAGAGAAAAAUAGACAAAUUGAACUUUGUAAAAAUUAAAAAGUUUUGUCCAUCACAGAACGCUGUCAACAGAGUUAAAAGGCAACCUACCGAAUAGGAGAAAAUAUUUGCCAACCGUCUAUCUGAUAAGGGUUUGAUAUCCAGAAUAUAUACAGAAUUCCUAAAACUCAACAACAAAAUAACUAAGACCGAGUAAAAGUUGGGCAAUGAAUUUGAAUAGAUAUUUCUCCAAAGAAGAUACACACAUGGCCAAUUAGCACAGGAAGAGAUGCUGAACAUCUCUAGUCAUCAGGGAAAUGCAAAUCAAAACCACAGUGAGAUACCACCUCACAUCCAUUAGGAGGGCUACUAUAAAAAAUUUUUUAAAAACCCACCAGAAAAGAGCAAGUGUUGGCAAGGAUGUAGAGAAAUUGGAACCCUUGUGCACUGUGCGUGGGAUUGUAAAAUGGUACAGGCGCUGUGGAAGACAGUGUGAUGGUUUCUCAAAAAAUUAAAGAUAGAAUUACUGUUUGAUCCAGCAACGCCACUUCUGGGAAUAUACUCGGGAGAAUCGAAAGCCGGGACUCCCAUCGAUAUUCGCACACCAGUCUUCAUAUCAGCGUUUUUCCACAGCAGCCAAAGGUGGAAACAACCCAAAUGCCCAGUGAUGAUGAAUGAGUAAACACAACACGGUGUCUACACCUGAGGAAAUGUUAUUCUGCAUUAAAAAGGAAGGAAAUCCUGCUGCAUGCUACGACACGGAUGGACCUCAAAGACAUUAGGCUAAGUGAAAUAAACCGGUUGCGAAAGGACAAAUAUUGCAUGAUUCCACUUAAAUAAGGUCCCUAGAGUAGUCAAAUAAGUAGAGAG
ensembl:lncRNA